rnacentral:rRNA from 1 species
AUUGAACGCUGGCGGCGGGCUUAACACAUGCAAGUCGAGCGGGGUGAUGGUGCUUGCACUAUCACUUAGCGGCGGACGGGUGAGUAAUGCUUAGGAAUCUGCCUAUUAGUGGGGGACAACAUCUCGAAAGGGAUGCUAAUACCGCAUACGUCCUACGGGAGAAAGCAGGGGAUCACUUGUGACCUUGCGCUAAUAGAUGAGCCUAAGUCGGAUUAGCUAGUUGGUGGGGUAAAGGCCUACCAAGGCGACGAUCUGUAGCGGGUCUGAGAGGAUGAGCCGCCACACUGGGACUGAGACACGGCCCAGACUCCUACGGGAGGCAGCAGUGGGGAAUAUUGGACAAUGGGGGGAACCCUGAUCCAGCCAUGCCGCGUGUGUGAAGAAGGCCUUAUGGUUGUAAAGCACUUUAAGCGAGGAGGAGGCUCUUUUGGUUAAUACCCAAGAUGAGUGGACGUUACUCGCAGAAUAAGCACCGGCUAACUCUGUGCCAGCCGCCGCCGUAAGAC